rnacentral:tRNA from 1 species
GCUGGGGAUAUAGCUCAGUUGGUAGAGUGCUUGCCUUGCAUGCACUAGGCCCUGGGUUCAAUCCCCAGCACCAGUU